rnacentral:tRNA from 1 species
AAGGGUAUAGCUCAGUGGUAGAGCGUAUGCCCAACAGACAGGAGGUCCUGGGUUCAAUUCCCAGUACUUUCA